rnacentral:sRNA from 1 species
AUAUUUACCCCUACCAUUCUAAUAAAACAUCGACUUCGCCACUGGCUUACUUGAUUUUGUUUUUCAUGAAAAUAAUUCUAAAAAAAGGCUAUAGGGGCAUAAAGUUCAAGGCAAGUACCAGGCAGCGUAAUGGGUUCUUCACUAUAUUCGUGAAAAUGGGUCUCGGUGAAACAAUGCGAUAAAAAAAUAAAGGAAUACAGGCUUUGACAAAGGUACAUGAAAUGAGUACUAACCCAAUAUAAUUUACCAAAUUUUUGCAGCAAAGUUUAACUACGGGACCAAAUAAAGCAUUAUCACCAUCCUACUCUUUAUACAUCCCCAGGAUUUGACCGACAUAAUUGUGCGUAGUCUAGCCUAACUACUUCCUAUAUUUCGCGCUUAAACCCCGGCUUAAAUAGAAACGUAUACUCUCUUAAACAUUAAUAUCACAUAGCGGAUAAACAGGGCAAGUUCACAGCGGUACCUAAACCACAGUUGGUAUAUAAAGGUAUUAUUUAUAUCAAUAAAUAAAAUUAUCUAAUGUGGAUACGUGAUAAUAAGGAAGGGGUAGUACGGGCCACUCUCCGGCCUAAAGUUUGUUUUAUCUUCGAACAGCUUUUGCUUCCACGAUUAAUAAUUAAAUCGCAUAACCGUGAAAAGUAAUAAAAUUUUGCUUUGAAUAAGUUUGAACAUAAGAAACUGCAGAGUUUUCGGCUAAAUUUACGGGCGCGAGGCGCAUAUUGCGAGCUUGGCCGUGCCUGGCCGACUAUUACCCGGGGCUCAUCCCACUUAGCAUAUAAGGCGUUGGGAAGGUGAGGCCGGGCUUAACCGCGUUAGUUUAACAUGUUUUUAAUUGCAAUAAUUAUCUUUCCUUUAAUUUAGAACUUGGUAAGUGAUAUGUAAUAUGUUAAGGUUUCUAAAAUACGUCUGGCUAUACAACCUGGACAUAUACAUUAUUAACUUAUAUAUAUAAACUUAAAUAAUAGGCUUACUAAUAAAUUAAAAUAUAUUUCUAAACCACACGUCAAUUCUUAAUAUUACUUUAUUAAUAAUAUAUUUGACACGAAUUACAACAUGUCGCUUUACAAUAUAAAGUAGAAAUAUUAUAUAAAUUAAUGUGCAUUCUUAAUACAUAAUUAAAUGUAAACCGCAUUAAACAAUUUAUGAAUAAGUGAAAACUCCAAGUAAUAUAAAUAAGAACGUGUUAAAAAUAAAUACAAGUUGACACAUUUCUUCAAUUAACAACCCCUUAGGGUUAGGGUUA